UACGUAGGGGGCAAGCGUUGUCCGGAUUUAUUGGGCGUAAAGAGCGUGUAGGCGGCCAGGUAGGUCUGCUGUGAAAACUCGAGGCUCAACCUCGAGAUGUCGGCGGAAACCAUCUGGCUAGAGUCCGGAAGAGGAAAGUGGAAUUCCCGGUGUAGCGGUGAAAUGCGCAGAUAUCGGGAAGAACACCCGUGGCGAAGGCGGUUCUCUGGGACGGUACUGACGCUGAGACGCGAAAGCGUGGGGAGCGAACAGG
rnacentral:rRNA from 1 species